rnacentral:rRNA from 1 species
CCAAAAAUCUAGCCUAAUUAAAAUAUUCUAGCAGUCUAGUAAAGAAGAUUGAAAACCUUUUAAGAGCUAUAGGUUGUACCGCAAGGGAGUGAUGAAAUAAAAAUGAAAUAAAUCUUAAGCACAAAAAAGUAAAGAUUCUCUCUUGUACCUUUUGCAUCAUGGUUUAGCUAGUCUAAUUAGGCAAAAAGACCUUAAGUCUAACACCCCGAAACUAAGUGAGCUAAAUUAGGGCUGCUUAUUGAGCUAACCCGUCUAUGUUGCAAAAUAGUGGGGUGACCCUAAAAUAGAGGUGAUAAACCUAACGAACUUAGUAAUAGCUGGUUUCUCAAGAAAAGAAUUUUAGUUCAACCUAAAGUAGUCCUUUAGAGUAAUUCAAAUGAGGUACAGCCCGUUUGAUAUAGGAUACAACCUUAACUAUUGGGUAAUAACCAAUUUAUACCUUCAAGUUGGCUUAAGAGCAGCCAUCUUUUAAAAAGCGUCAAAGCUUAGAAUUUUAAACUUUACAUUGACCCCUUUAAUCAUAUUGAGAACUUCUAUAAUCUUAUAGAACUUUUUAUGCUAAAACUAGUAACAAGAGGAAAAUCCUCUCUCUAAUGCAAAUAAAAGCCAGCAAGAACCCACCACUGGCAGUUAACAAAAAGUAGUAACACUUCAAGAAAAAUCUACUCCUACCCUGUCAACCUUACCCUAGAGCAUUUCAAGAAAGAUUAAAAGAAAAAGAAGGAAUUCGGCAAAUAUUAAUCCCGCCUGUUUACCAAAAACAUCGCCUCUUGAUAAGAGGUCCAGCCUGCCCAGUGACCCUGUUCAACGGCCGCAGUAUUCUAACUGUGCGAAGGUAGCGUAAUCACUUGUUUUCUAAAUAAAGACCAGUAUGAAAGGCAUCACGAGGAUUAAGCUGUCUCCUCUUUCCAAUCAGUGAACCUAAUCUCCCCGUGAAGAAGCGGGGAUUAAAAUAUAAGACGAGAAGACCCUGUGGAGCUUAAAACAUCACACCCAGAUAUCUCACCCCUGAUUAUACGUUUUUGGUUGGGGUGACCGCGGAGAAAAACUAAUCCUCCACAAUGAAACCCUAAACAAUAAGUUACAACUUUAUGCAUCAAAAAACUGACAUCAUCGACCCAAUAAAUUGAUCAAUGAACCAAGUUACCCCAGGGAUAACAGCACAAUCCGCUUUGAGAGCUCCUAUCGACAAGCGGGCUUAUGACCUCGAUGUUGGAUCGGGGUAUCCUAGUGGUGCAGCCGCUACUAAGGGUUCGUUUGUUCAACGAUUAAAACCCCACGUGAUCUGAGUUCAGACCGGAGUAAUCCAGGUCAGUUUCUAUCUAUACAGCGCUAAUUUCAGUACGAAAGGACCAAAAUAGCAUGGCCAAUGCCAUCGCAAGCCAUAGUUAAUCAUUCAAGAUUCUCAAAAAAUAAUUAACCU